rnacentral:rRNA from 1 species
AGUGAAUAGAUACCCUGGUAGUCCCAGCUGUAAACGAUGCGCGUUAGGUGUAUCGGUGACCACGAGUCACCGAGGUGCCGAAGGGAAACCGUGAAACGUGCCGCCUGGGAAGUACGGUCGCAAGGCUGAAACUUAAAGGAAUUGGCGGGGGAGCACCACAACAGGUGGAGCCUGCGGUUUAAUCGGACUCAACGCCGGGAAGCUCACCGGAUAAGACAGCUGAAUGAUAGCCGGGUUGAAGACUCUGCUUGACUAGCUGAGAGGAGGUGCAUGGCCGUCGUCAGUUCGUACUGUGAAGCAUCCUGUUAAGUCAGGCAACGAGCGAGACCCACGCCAACAGUUGCCAGCAUGUCCUCCGGGAUGGUGGGGACACUGUUGGGACCGCCUCUGCUAAAGAGGA